AAGCAACCACCCAUGUUUUGCUUUUUCAUUCUGUGUGGAGACCUGCUCGCGUGCUGUACGGUGCUCCGCGGCGCGGUUUGAGUUUAUGCGUUUUUUCUUCUUCCUUCGAUUCAUCGUUCGGGCCGGACCCCGCGCGGUCGUCGAUUGCAGUGCGCGUCUUUCGGUGGUGUUGCUUUUUUUUUCUCGGUGGUUUCGCGUGAUGUAAAGUGUUCGAGUACCGUAUGAUAAUUGCAAGUGUGCUCGACUCCCGUGCAAUUCCUGCAUUGUACCUAGGAAGGAAAAGGUGUCAUUCGGUGGUGCGUUACUUUAGCCAUGGUAAUCGACGCUAUGCGAAUUUUGUAGAAGGUGUGCAUUCUUGGAUGUGUGUGCUUACAGCGUUGCCUUGAAGAAGCGAGAAAAAAGUGCGUUCAGUGCACUUCCAGUGUACCAUCGGAAGAUUACUUAUCGCCUGUUUUCCCCCAGUGUUGUUCUUCUCAAUGUUCAACAGUGCUAGUGAAACAAUUCAGUCUUACAUAAUUCACAAACGGCAGUGUUGCAUUUUGUCACUCUGGGAAAAAAGUGGAAGUGAGAUUCGGCUGACAAGUCAUCCAACGAUUGUUACUUCGCUAUAAUCCCAACCAAAAAUUCCAACUGAAAGUUGAGUGAAGUGCAUACAGUGACAGUGAUCUGAAAAAAGAAUCGAUAUUUUCGAUAAAGUGUCCCUCAAGCCUACAGGUGAUUUCCUAGCGCCAAAACCCAUUUGCGAUUUCGCACCACCAUCCCCGGUAAUGAUCACGCCCGCAUGCCGCCCCGGAUCGGUGUGACUUCCGCGUGAAUGCACUCCAAACGGAAGCGUAAGCGCAAGAAGCGAUCGCAACGACUGCUGUUGGUGCCUUCUGCUGCAGCAUCACCACCUCCACCAGCAGCAACUCACUACUAGAUACGAACCAAAUCGCAGCUGCUGACAGCAUUUAAACUACUGGAUCGACCACAGCGCCUAAUGUUCCUGCUGGGAUGGGUCCUGACGUUGGGCUUGGUUGGCACAACCAGUCCGCUAAGUGUGAUUCCACCUCAAACGCAGCAACAGCUGCAGCAGCCACUGCAGCAUCCUCUGCCGGACGGAACCAAGGAACAGUCGGCGGCGAUUCCCUCGGGGAUCGGCAGUCCCAAUGGGUUGAUCAUCGAGGAUUCCCCGAUCGCUCCCUCCUCGCAGUACAUCGUCCAGAAGGAUGUGUGGAGCGGGGGAGCAGGUGGCGUUGCGGGAGGAGGAGGAGGAGGUGGUAGCAACUAUCAUAAUCAUCACCACCACAACCACAAUCAGUCCCCCUCACAGUCAUCAUCCUCUAGUGAUUCUUCUUCUUCUUCCAGUAGUAGUGGUAGUAGUAGCCCUAGCGAUGAUCCCCGUCGAUCCCCACUGGUUCCCGAUCGUAACGAUACUUUCCGUUAUUCCGUUGUCCCAGGGGCAGGCGGUGGCGGUGGAAGCGGAUCCUCCAGCCUUUUCGCUUGGACCACGUUUUUCAGCGGGAACGAGUGGACACUGAUGGAGUGCUUUUCGCUGCGACGAUCGCACCAUUUGUACUAUCAGAUCGGGAAUGGGUUGUUUCUGUUGGCCUUUCUGGCCCCGAACGUUCCCUUCGGGAUGCUGUGGCUGCGCUGUCUGGUGAUCGCCGGAUGUGUGCUGAUGAUCAUCUGGGGCUGGCAGGUGGAGUGCACCAUGGAUGCGGUCGUGUGGGCCAGCCUGUUCCUCAUCAUCAACGCGAUCUACGUGGGAGCGUUGCUGUGCAAGCUGCGGCCGGUGAGGUUCGAGAAGGAGAUUGAAGCGGUAUAUGGGGCACUGUUCAAACCACUGCGGGUGUCCCGGCAUCAGUUCAAGAAGGUUCUGAACUGCAUGAAACUGGUCCGGUCGCUCAAGUACCAGGAGAUCUACGCCCAGGAGAAGGUCACCAAGGUGGACAGCCUGUCGCUGGUGCUGUCGGGGAAACUGGUAGUGUCCCAGAAUCAGAAAGCCCUGCACAUAGUCUUCCCCCAUCAGUUCCUGGAUUCGCCGGAGUGGUUUGGUGUGUCCACGGAUGAUUACUUCCAGGUCUCAAUUAUGGCGAUGGAGGAGUCCCGGGUCCUGAUCUGGCAUCGGGACAAACUGAAACUGUCAAUUAUGGCGGAACCCUUCCUGCAGGCCGUGUUCGAUCACAUCCUGGGUCGGGAUGUAGUGAAAAAGCUGAUGCAGGUCACGCAGGUCAGCGAAACGAUGGCCCAGAGCAACGGGUACAUUUCGUCCGGUUACGGUGAUGACGCCGAGGACAAACCGAUGCUGAUGAUGAAGGGUAAAUCCGGAGACAGCAAUGGUAUCGGUGGAGCCGGUAUUGGUGGUGGCGGAGGAGGACAUGGUAUCACAGCCCUCAUUAAUCGGCAGCUGCAGGAAGAGAGCCUUCCGCUGCUGCUGAACAGUGCCAACCCAACGCCACUGAUGUCGCUACAUAUGCGUCUGCUGCACUCCGUCGAAAACAAGUUCAUCAAAAAGAUCUACGACGUAUGACAGCGAAGAGAGACAGAGCACAUCAGCAAUAACAAAAACAACAACCGGAAGAAACAACACACCCAAAUCGUAUUUGUCUAGUCCCUCAAAUUUGCUAGUUCAGUUUGAGUUUUUCACACGUUUUCAUGGAAUGGAUGUUUUCUUCUGUACGAGUUUAAUUAAUAUAUUUUGAGUGUGCGAGAUAGAAGCGAACGGAGUUGGAUAGACCUCAUCGAACAACGAACCAACGAUGGAUCCCAGUGCAACGUGCAACGUGCAACGACUAUUUUGUAACAUAGUUCUUUGUUUUAUUUUUGUAACCUGUUUUAAACAUCAGUUCUUUUGCUCUGCCUAGGAUAUCCAAAUACUACUAUUGUGCAGCGGAUCCGAACGCGUGGCGUCUAGGCCGAAUCGACGAAACGGACCACGAGACGGCCGUUUAAUAUUAGCCCCGAAGGUGUGCCCCCGAUGACCACCUCUCCAUCACAAUCAUCACCACCACCACCAUCACUACAAGCUCAGCGUAGCCCAGCUCCUGCCUGCCGGGUGAUUUGUUGUGCUACACCGCCAUCAUCCCACUGGAUGUGUGAACUGGUUCGAGAGCUGCUGGAGUGCACCCGAACACAGGGGUGUGCACCGAAGCUGUGCUGUGUCCUUUUUACUGCAUCCUCUCUAGGUACUCAAGAAAUCAAUAAUUAAAAAUUAAAGAAAAACAAAAAGGAUUAAGCUAUUACUACGCCUUUCGGAAAGCUGAGAGCAAAACCCGUUUUUAGAUCUAUAGGUUAUAGCGAAACCAAACUCCAUAUUUUCUCAGCUUAGUUCCUGCGUUCUCCGUUGUACAAGUUCGAUAGAAAAUAAAUUAUAUUUACAUGUCUAGUUGUAACAAACAAAAAUAAAUAACAAACAGCAGAAAAAAAAGAAACGUUUAUUAUUUUUUCUGAGUCUGAGUCUAUGAAAAACAAAAAAAAAAUUACAAUCGAUUUACCAUUGACUGUAGCAAAGCAAUCGGAUAAAAUGUGUAAAUGUUCAGCUGUGUAAACUAGUAGGCGGUAACAAAUUCGAAGAGAAUAGAAUCAGAAGCCUUCCGGCAAAUCCUCUCUUGUAAUUUAGUAUGUAUAGACAGGAGUUAAUGAUGCCGCAAAAGAAAAAUCAGUCAGAGUUCAAUCAGUCAGUAAAAAACAGUCACAGAAGUGUAGUUUCAUUGUUACAAAAUAGAGAAAUCAAAUAACUCUUGAUGUUUAAAGUUAUAUUUAGCAGAGAACAACAAACGUAACAAAACGAUAUAUAGUGCUUAGGCGUCGGUGCAAUGGAAUGAUGUUUUUUUUUGUCUGUGAAUGUGUGAUGCGGGGAAGUGGUUGGAAUCGGAGGUGCAGUUGUUUUUAUGUAACACUGUUUUAGUCGUAAGCAGGAAUCAAUAACGAUUAAAGAAAAUUUUGGAAGUCAGGAGAAAAAAAAGAAUGAAAUAGACAUUGUUGGUAGUUGUAGAUAGGAAACAAACAGGAUGGAUAGGAAGAAUAAUGUGAAAGGUCCCUUCUAUUUUUCAAGGUCGAACCAAAAUAUCGAAAACAUCAACACUUUCAAUAUUAGCUACGGCAACGCCUACUCUUUUUCGCCAAAUGUGAAAUUAAUGUCGCUUUUGUUUGAAGCUGAAACUGACGCAAUAUCUAACUGGCAGCAAGUUAGUAUCAGUUACUGACGAGUGGAACACGAAACAUUGAAGAUCGAAAAUGAAUUCUCCGAAGUUUCCUUUCUAUGAGUUGUUCUACAAGAAACUUGCUCUAUUCCAACAAAAAGAAGAAAAAAAACGAAAGGCAUUUGUUGGACGAACUUUUUUGCGAGAGAGUUAAAAGUUGAUGCAAAAACAUGGCAAUCAAAUGCAUUUUUUUAAUUGCAUGGAAGUCUGUUAUUCAUUCGUAGAGUGAUCUGUCCCUAUAUUCGAAGCCAAAACCCUGAAUCCUGAACUGAUAGCAAAGUGAGGUUUAACCUCAGUGUCAUGCAGGUACUAUGUAGAGUAACUAGACCAUUUUGAACUUAGCUUCUAUUCUCAAGAUGCCGCUCGAAAAAUUCCAACAUGUCUUCACUGAUGGUCGUCUUCGGAAAGGCGCAAACCGGAUCCUCCUCUACAUUAGCCAUGAAAUAAAACUGAUACAAGAGGAUAAUAAAUAAGGAUCGUAAAAUUCGUACCGAUUACAGAGAAAGGAAACCAAUAAUGAAACUAAUCACAAAGAGAAUGAAGUUAAUUCCAAUUAAAUUCUAAUAUUGCUAAAUAUGAUGCCUGGAGAGAUCGUCGCGAGAGAGAUAGAGAUUAAAGAGAGUACAUUUUAUGAUUGCGAAUAAAAGAGAACAUUUAUAGAUAAGUUAAAUGUAAACAUGCUGAACAGAGCGAAGCAGAUAAAGUUGGAGAAAAAAACGAUACAAAAACUAUGUGACAUAAGUGUUGUUUGAAAUAAAACGAAGAGAAACCGAGUGAAGCAAUCAAUUGUGCGGAGAGAUUAAUUAAACCAUUCGGAUUGAAGAGUAAAGAUAUUUUAAAAUAAAUCCGUUGCGUUGCCUU